AGUUCCCGUACAAUCACCGAAGUUAAGCAACGUCGAGCCUGGGCAGUACCUAGAUGGGUAACCGCUUGGGAAUAUCA